UACGGAGGGGGCUAGCGUUGUUCGGAAUUACUGGGCGUAAAGCGCACGUAGGCGGCUAUUCAAGUCAGAGGUGAAAGCCCAGGGCUCAACCCUGGAACUGCCUUUGAAACUAGAUAGCUAGAAUCUUGGAGAGGCGAGUGGAAUUCCGAGUGUAGAGGUGAAAUUCGUAGAUAAUUCGGAAGAACACCAGUGGCGAAGGCGACUCGCUGGACAAGUAGUGACGCUGAGGUGCGAAAGCGUGGGGAGCAAACAGGG
rnacentral:rRNA from 1 species